rnacentral:rRNA from 1 species
UACGAGAGGCCCAAACGUUAUUCGGAAUUACUGGGCUUAAAGAGUUCGUAGGCGGCAUUGCAAGUAGGGUGUGAAAGCCCUCGGCUCAACCGAGGAAUUGCGCUCUAAACUGCAGUGCUCGAGGAAGCUAGAGGUGAGCAGAACAGAUGGUGGAGCGGUGAAACGCGUUGAUAUCAUCUGGAAUACCGGAGGCGAAGGCGGCUCACUGGGGCUUUUCUGACGCUGAGGAACGAAAGCCAGGGUAGCGAACGGG